UCAGUGUCAUUUUUGUUCCCGAUGCGUUCCUGCACCUAGCUGCGAAUUUUCAUUAGAAACCGUAAACUUCGAAAAUUACUGCGGCACGCCACCAUUCUGUGAAGGUCUUGAGACGG